AUUGAACGCUGGCGGCAGGCUUAACACAUGCAAGUCGAACGAGAGGCGGACGGGUGAGUAAUGCUUGGGACUCUAGCUUAUUGAGGGGGAUAACUACGGGAAACUGUAGCUAAUACCGCGUACAAUAGGAUGAGCCCAAGUGGGAUUAGGUAGUUGGUGAGGUAAAGGCUCACCAAGCCGACGAACUCUAGCUGGGCUGAGAGGAUGACCAGCCACACUGGGACUGAGACACGGCCCAGACUCCUACGGGAGGCAGCAGUGGGGAAUAUUGCGCAAUGGGGGCAACCUGACGCAGCCAUGCCGCGGGAAUGAAGAAGGCCUUCGGGUUGUAAAGUUCUUUCGGUAGAGAGGCGUUACCUACAGAAGAAGCACCGGCUAAGUCCGUGCCAGAAGCCGCGGUAAUAC
rnacentral:rRNA from 1 species